AAGGAAAUAAAAAAUCAUCCUCGUCUCAGACUCAGAGGGUAGAAUCGGGACCUGUUCCUUAUCAAACCUCCCACUACCUGCCUGUUUUGCUCACGGAGAAUGAAAGGACCAGAACAACUUGGGAUGAGACUGGGUUGUUCACGCGACCUUCUCGGCACCUACUAGCACACCAUAGUGUAUCUGGGUAUGAGGAGCAGAAGAACUGGACCCAGCUUGAAUUGGUUUUGGGUGCAUGCCAAUGUCCUCAGGAACCUUUCACGGAGACUCUGCGAUUUACCAUCUUAUGCCUAGGCACAAUAGAGAGGGCCUA